AUCGAACGCUGGCGGCAUGCUUUACACAUGCAAGUCGAACGGCAGCGCGGGCUUCGGCCUGGCGGCGAGUGGCGAACGGGUGAGUAAUGCAUCGGAACGUGCCCAGUAGUGGGGGAUAGCCCGGCGAAAGCCGGAUUAAUACCGCAUACGACCUGAGGGUGAAAGCGGGGGACCGAAAGGCCUCGCGCUAUUGGAGCGGCCGAUGUCGGAUUAGCUAGUUGGUGGGGUAAAGGCUUACCAAGGCGACGAUCCGUAGCUGGUCUGAGAGGACGACCAGCCACACUGGGACUGAGACACGGCCCAGACUCCUACGGGAGGCAGCAGUGGGGAAUUUUGGACAAAGGGGGCAACCCUGAUCCAGCCAUGCCGCGUGCGGGAAGAAGGCCUUCGGGUUGUAAACCGCUUUUGUUCGGGAAGAAAUCCUCUGGGCUAAUACCCCGGGGGGAUGACGGUACCGGAAGAAUAAGCACCGGCUAACUACGUG
rnacentral:rRNA from 1 species